rnacentral:rRNA from 1 species
UACGUAGGGGGCUAGCGUUGUCCGGAAUCAUUGGGCGCAAAGAGCGUGUAGGCGGUCCGGUAAGUCCGCUGUGAAAGUCGGGGGCUCAACCCUCGAAUGCCGGUGGAUACUGUCGGGCUAGAGUGCGGAAGAGGCGAGGUGGAAUUCCUGGUGUAGCGGUGAAAUGCGCCAGAUAUCAGGAGGAACACCUAUUGCGAAGGCAGCUCGCUGGGACGUAACUGACGCUGAGACGCGAAAGCGUGGGAGCAAACAGG